GCUCAGGAUGAACGCUGGCGGCGUGCCUAAUACAUGCAAGUCGAGCGAAUGGAUUAAGAGCUUGCUCUUAUGAAGUUAGCGGCGGACGGGUGAGUAACACGUGGGUAACCUGCCCAUAAGACUGGGAUAACUCCGGGAAACCGGGGCUAAUACCGGAUAACAUUUUGAACYGCAUGGUUCGAAAUUGAAAGGCGGCUUCGGCUGUCACUUAUGGAUGGACCCGCGUCGCAUUAGCUAGUUGGUGAGGUAACGGCUCACCAAGGCAACGAUGCGUAGCCGACCUGAGAGGGUGAUCGGCCACACUGGGACUGAGACACGGCCCAGACUCCUACGGGAGGCAGCAGUAGGGAAUCUUCCGCAAUGGACGAAAGUCUGACGGAGCAACGCCGCGUGAGUGAUGAAGGCUUUCGGGUCGUAAAACUCUGUUGUUAGGGAAGAACAAGUGCUAGUUGAAUAAGCUGGCACCUGA
rnacentral:rRNA from 1 species